CCCUCUUAGCACGUCUGCCAUCUCUUCCUGCUCUGGGUGUCACUUAGCUCUGAAAACAUAGGCAUCGGAGUGUAGCAGACUGACUCAGAGUCCUCCCAAGAUGCAGAUUCUACUGAAAUCCAAACCCAAGGGGUCUACAAAAUGGAUAAGAAAACUGAAGCCCAGAAAAUUUAUUUCCUUCACCUGGUCACACACAGAUCUCCUGGUAUAUUCAGAACUAGAACUCAGAUACUUGAUUCCCAUUCAGAAAGAACCUGGUCAGCUGGUUCGGGGUUAAAGAGGACAGAGAACACCAGUGAAAAAACCUCCACUGAGAUGUGAAAUGUCUUACUCUAUCCCAUGGGGCCACUGUCUUGUGUGAUUGCUGAAAAAACUGCUGAAAAAAGAGGCUCCAUAGAGAUGUCUAUUCCAGUUUCUCCAGUCUACCUUGCACAUCCAUAAUUUCCCCCAGAAAUG
rnacentral:lncRNA from 10 species